rnacentral:lncRNA from 1 species
UUGCUGACGUGUCGAUCUUCUUCUCCUUCGGUCGGUCGUUCCUUCUUAGUGUCUCCUUCGGUCGGGCGGGGGAGGGUACCUGCGAAGGCACUCCGACGCUCAAGUAAGUAUGAGAUUCCAAGUGUGAUUUAGUAAGUGAAUGAAAACGUACCUUUCUCUGGCUUGAGCAUAGUAUUUAUAGGAUUGCCUAAUGGGCUUUCUAUCCCUUGGGCUCAGGGUGGUU